GACGAACGCUGGCGGCGUGCUUAACACAUGCAAGUCGUACGGUAAGGCCCUUUCGGGGGUACACGAGUGGCGAACGGGUGAGUAACACGUGAGUAACCUGCCCACAACUUUGGGAUAACGCUAGGAAACUGGUGCUAAUACUGGAUAUGUGCUCCUGCUGCAUGGUGGGGGUUGGAAAGCUCCGGCGGUUGUGGAUGGACUUGCGGCCUAUCAGCUUGUUGGUGGGGUAGUGGCCUACCAAGGCGGCGACGGGUAGCCGGCCUGAGAGGGUGACCGGCCACAUUGGGACUGAGAUACGGCCCAGACUCCUACGGGAGGCAGCAGUGGGGAAUAUUGCACAAUGGGCGCGAGCCUGAUGCAGCAACGCCGCGUGCGGGAUGACGGCCUUCGGGUUGAAAACCGCUUUCAGCAGGGACGAAGCUUUUUGUGACGGUACCUGCAGAAGAAGCACCGGCUAACUACGUG
rnacentral:rRNA from 1 species